AUUUGUAAUUAUUGAGGUAGAGUCUCAUACGUUGUGCCAUCCUGUCACGCGUGCCUACAUUUGCCCGGUACUGCGCAAGUAUGUUUGUGAAAUGUACGGAGCUACAGAAGACAACGCGCAUACCAAAUUUUACUGUCUUAUUACUCGCAGCCAAAAGUCGGCGCCUACGGCAAUCUUACUUAAAACUACUCGCCACAACGCAACUGGUAAACGGACUAAAGUGUCACAUGAUGGACACUUCAAGAAUUCGAUUGAUUGCCCAUUUUAGCAAUUGAUACUGUACGGCUUGUAUUAUUAUUUUAUUUCGAUGUGCUUAUCAUGACAUUUAGAAAAAUUUGUCAUAAAGAUUUCAAUGAAUUCAAUCGUGCUUGUGCUGCCAAUUCGUACGUAUCGAUAUUCAGUUGCCACAAAGGAGUUUUGAGUACACUGCGUCAACGAUACACUACGCAAGACUCACCUUUGCGCAUUUACAUUAAUUAACACGUUUCAUCUUGGCCUGAAGUCUCAACAUAUAUUGAAAAUCAAACUGUUGUCUCAGCGAAUACAUGUGUUCUAGUAGUUAAA